GGGAUCUGGGGAAAGGGGGUCGCGACCUCCCCCCAUCGAACUCCCCUCCACCCCAACGAACCGCGCUUUAGAAGCCUUGAAAAAGGUACCCGAAUUCAAGUAUGGAAAAGGCAAGAUUCGCUUUACAGCCGAUCCCUAUAUUCCUGGGGCUUUGCUUCCGCUUGGGUCAUGACUAUCUCAAGAGAUUCUGUAACAAACCAGCAGGCGAUGGAGUCUAGUUCUGUCAUUAACUCAUUUUACAGACGAAGAAACUGAUACUUCCACUAUCUAGGGCUGUCUUUAAAAUGUCAGGGGAAGAAAAAAAGUCAGACACCCAGACACCCUUAGGAUGUGAACUUGUUAAGAGAAUUUAUUCCCCCAUCUCUACCUCCUCAUCGUCUGUGGAAAAGGGUUCACUACACCCAGCUGAGCCACCAAAUAAAACCAGCAUAUGGGGCAAUUAGGAAGCCGGCUCCUGCUUUCAAGGCCAAGAAGAAAGAGACCAAGUUCAGGGCCCCAGCUUCCCUGCCUGCUUCAGUAAUGAUCACAAAUCCUAAUAAGCAUCCGCUUUGCCUCUCAGUAGUGCCCCUGGUCUGUCCUCCAUAAACACCAACCUGUGGUUUCACCUUUCAAAAAAAUCAUUUGUUCCACACAACAACAUCUUACCCUCUUUUGCUGCAAAUUUGCUGAGGGAGAGGAAGGAGGGAUGUGCGGAUAAACCUUUAUCACAUAGGUUUGUGUGGGGCAAAGAUAUUCUUUCUUCUUAGUCAUAUAUUUGCUUUUUUUUUUUUUUUUUUUGGCCGCGCUGCUCAGGUUGCGGGAUCUUGUUUCCCAGACCAAGGAUCGAACCCGUGCCCCCUGCAUUGGUAGCGUGGAGUCUUAGCCACUGUGCCACCAGGGAAGUCCCCCCAUUGGAAGCGCAGAGUCCUAACCACUGGGCAGCCAGGGAAUCCCUGCAUAUAUUUGUUUUUACAUGACCCAGAAAGACUCUGAUCUUCCCUAACUCUCAAAUAGUGGUGUGAGUAGAACUUACCUGAAAAUUUUUGCAAGACAUGGAGAUCCCAUAAUGAUUGAUCAACCUCCCUACUGAUCACAUGCAGAAAUCCCCAUCCUGUUUUAUCCCCAUGGACUUGGACCUGAUGGGACUUCACGUUUGACAAGGAUUGAUUGGGGUCAUGCUGUCAGCUACUUGCAUAUUUGUAUUUAAAUGAAGUUUCAAUCACUUGUACUUCUCAUGAAGUUUUUUUUUUUUUUUUUGUGGUACGCGCGCCUCUCACUGUUGUGGCCUCUCCCGUUGCGGAGCACAGGCUCCGGAUGCGCAGGCUCAGCGGCCAUGGCUCACGGGCCCAGCCGCUCCGCGGCAUGUGGGAUCUUCCCGGACCGGGGCACGAACCCGUGUCCCCUGCAUCGGCAGGCAGACUCUCAACCACUGCGCCACCAGGGAAGCCCCUCAUGAAGUUUUAGAGUUAGAAGGGAUUUAAGAGAUAAUGUAAUCAAAUCAAUUCAUUAGAUGCCAUCGUUAUUUGAAAUGGUUCUACUCCCCGACCUCAAUAUCUGAAAUUCCUCUCUCUAACCCAAUGUACGACUACUGAGCCCUCAUGCCACAACUACUGAAACCUCCACGCCUAGAGUCCGUGCUCCACAAGAGAAGCUGCCGCAAUGAGAAGCCCGCGCACAGCAAUGAAGAGUAGCCCCCGCUCGCCGCAACUAGAGAAAGCCCGCACACAGCAAUGAAGACACAACACAGCCAAAAAUAAAUUAAUUUUUUUUUAAAAAGGAAAUCUUUUCUCUAUCUGCUUUCACUCAACCUACUCUCCUUAUCUGUUUCCUGAUACAACCAGAGCUCUGCGAAAAGUAAACUAUACUCAAAUCUCUCUGUUCCCCCUCCUCCCACCUGCCCCCUUGUCCAACUUAUCCCCUCAACCCCUGACCAUUUGCUUCCACCCUCAUGAUGUUAUUCAUUUAUGUAUUCAUUCAUUCAACAGACAUGUAUUGAGAGCCCACUCUGUGCCAGUCGUUGUUGAAACUCCCGUCUCAGAGAGGUUACCAGUUACCUCCUAAUCCAGUGAUUCUCAAAUUUUGCUGCAUGUUGGAAUCAUCUGGGAUCUUUUUAAAAUACUGAUGUCUGGGUUUCACUCCACGAUAUUCUGAGUUCACUGGUCUGGGUGUGACCUGGGCAUCAGGAUUUUUUAAUGCUUCUGGGUGAUUCUAAUGUGUAGCAAAGUUUGGGAACCACUUCCCUAAUCCCCUAAUGCAAGUUUUCUCAACCUCAGCACUACUGACCUUUUGGGCAGAGAUCAUUCUUUGCUGGUGGUGGGGUUUUCCUAUGCACUAUAGCUGAUUUAGCAGCGUCCCUGGCCUCUACGUACUAGAUGCCAAUUGUAUCCUCUGCCCCCCGUCGUGACAACCAAAAAUGUCUCCAGAGAUUGCCAAAUGUCCCCUGAGGGGCAAAAACAACUCUGGUUGAAGGGCCACUGCCCUAAAGUCUUCAAUUAUCAUACUCCUUGACAUGUGGAUAGCAUCGUGAAACCCCUCCUUCAGGAGACUAUCCUUAAUUUGGCUUUCACCACAGUGCACUCUCUGAUUCAUUAUCCAAGGAUAUAGUGAUAUUUAAAGCAUGUUGUAGGGUGGAUAUAGGAGUUGCUCACGUGUCUUUUGCUCACCUCUUAUUGGCUACGUAUCUACAAGGCAGAUGAGUAAUGUAACCUUUAUGGUGGGCAGCCACAUGUCUAGCUAAGUCUGGGACUCUGGUCCUAUAGUUUGUUUGUUUGUUUUUUGGCCGCACCGCGCAGCUUGCGGGAUCUUAGUUCCCGGACCAGGGAUUGAACCCGGCCAUGGCAGUGAAAGCACUAAUCAGUAGGCAACUCUCCCAAUUCUGUUCCUAUAGUACUUUCAGGUCCUGUCUUUUUCCCAUUUUUCCCCCUUCCCUGCUGGAAGUACAGAUGUGAUAGUGUUGAGUCAUAUUGGACCAUAUGAACAAGGUCAUGACCCUAGGGUUCAUAGAGCAAAAGGGUAGAAGAAUCCUAAGUCUCUGACCUCCCACAGACACCACUCCAGCCCUAGACUCCUCACUCCCAAAUUCGUUUUUUGGUUUUUUUUUUAAUAUUUAUUUAUUUAUUUGGUUGCUCCAGGUCUUAGUUGUGGCUCGCCGGCUCCUUAGUUGCGGCAUGCAUGUGGGAUCUAGUUCCCUGACCAGGGAUCGAACCCGGGCCCUGUGCAUUGGGAGGGUAGAGUCUUAUCCACUGCGCCACCAGGGAGGUCCCACUCCUGAAUUAUUACGUGAGAAAGAAAUACACUUCUGUCUGGUUUAAGCUACCAUAUUUGGGUGUUGCUGUUAUAUCAGUGGAACCCACGUCCUAAUGAAUACAGAUCCAAUCAAGUUCAACUAUCACUUCUGGCAACUCUCAGAUCUCUAUCUCCAGCCCCUGCAACUCUCAAACUCAACUCCCCUAUUUCGGUUACCUAUUGGAAGCUCCAGCUGGAUAACCAAGUAGGAUCCUAAGCUCAGGGUAUUUAAAACCAAAAGCAUCCUUCUUUUGGUUUCCCCAAACUAACACUGCCAUCUUCCCUAAUGUUGCUUAAAAGGCAUCCUGUUCUCCAGGUCAUCCAGGCUCCAGAUCUGCGACGCUUGCCUUCCUUAUGAGCCUUCUAUCCAAUUAACAGCUCCCCAACAACCUUAGCUCCCCCUGCACGUCUACAUGUCCCCUAUGCUUCCACCAGACCAAACCACUUGCUAGCCCCCCCUCCUUCAUACGCCGUCUACUUCCAGAACUAUUGCAGAUUCUAUACCUAACCUCUACUGAAAGUCCCUACCCAGCAUGCCCUUCGCCUCAAAGGCAUGCCUGAGUCAUCCCACAGAAGUCCAUCCCAAAGCCUUGCACGUGGUAGGCAUGAAAAUGUUUUUCAAGUUGAAGAGAUCAAGUGGUUUGCCCAAAGCCACAUGGCUAGAUGUUCUGCUGUAUGAUGGAGACUGCGCAUUCAAAUGAUAAACUAGAUUUCCUGCUUAGUUUUUAAAUUGGGCUGACAAUGUCAUGAGGACAUGGACUUCUUAGGAAAAGGUAGUGAUUUGAGAAAUUCUAAACUAUAAUUUAAAUAAGUGUUCUGCUAUUCUGAGCUUUUGGCAUACCAUGUAGUAUAAUUAUAUCAUGUGUCUGUGUAAUACUAGAUAAAAUAUAAGCAUUUUAUAUAGUUUCAUGGAUGAAAUGUGAAUCUUCAUCCAAACAUGCUCUUGCCUGCCUGAUUCUUUAUAGACCAAGAAGCCUUUAGAAUACUGAGAUAUUUUUCAAAUUGAGCUUGCUCAAAUCAGAUUAAAAAUCACUGAGGGAUCCUCUCAGCAAAUUUUAAACAAAUCAGAGGGUGCUGUGGUCAAUAUUUGAGCCAUGUGACCUGCUCUUACAAUGAAUGUCUAUAGCCAAACUUUUUAUGUGCCUAUGAUUUUUUAAAGAUUUUUUUUUUGAGCCGUAUGUAAAAGAGAAUCAUUAUGCUUUGAGUACCUACAUAGGCACAUGGCUAGAUACUUUAAUCAUCAUCAUCACAACCGCAGGAGGUAGGUAGGAACUGCAAGAAACAGGGAAGUGGGGAGACAGGCAGCAAGGCAAUUUGGCCAGGUCUCAAAUGAUGGGGCCUCUAAUUUCUGCUGCUUUUCAGAAGAAAAUUUGAGCAGGGGUGGUUUAAGCCUUGAACUAUACCCUUCAAUUCUUUCCAAGAACCAUAUUGCCCCCAUUUGCCUCACCUAGUCAUUCACAGCUACCUGUAAAUUUCAACUGGGUUUGUGAUCAAAAAGCCGUCUGAUGCUCAAGUUAUUAUCAUCCCAGCUCAAAGGAGACCUUUCUUCCUCCACGGCACAUGGGAACAUGAUCUUUGGGCAUCAUUCAGCUUUGGGUAUAAAUAUAAAAGACAGACAUUAAUUGCACACACUCUUGUAUGUUAAAAGUUGUAUAUAUAAUGAUAUAUAUUAUUAAUGUAUUUGUUUAAUAUAGUUUUGAAUUUUUGACUUAUUUUAAAAAGCUAUUCAUUUAAUUUUCUACAUUUUACCUUUCCCUUUAUUAGCUUUAACCUGGUUUAUGUAAAACAGAAAAAUUUCACGUUCAAUUAUGUUCUUUUAUGCCUACACUAGUGUUUUUUGUCUUUUUGUCAGUUCUGUAAUAAUACUCUUUAGAUUGGUUUGCAUCUUUUAUUAUUCACACAGUUUCAU